rnacentral:rRNA from 1 species
AACGAACGUUGGCGGCGUGGAUUAGGCAUGCAAGUCGAACGAGAAAGCCACCUUCGGUGGUUAGUAAAGUGGCGAACGGGUGAGUAACGCGUGGGAAAUCUGCCCUACAGUUGGGGAUAACACUCCUAACGGAGUGCUAAUACCGAAUGAGACCACGAGAUCGCAUGGUCUUGAGGUUGAAGGUGGCCUCUCCUUGGAAGCUACCGCUGCAGGAGGAUCCCGCGUCCCAUUAGCUUGUUGGCAGGGUAACGGCCUACCAAGGCUUCGAUGGGUAGCUGGUCUGAGAGGAUGAUCAGCCACACUGGGACUGAGACACGGCCCAGACUCCUACGGGAGGCAGCAGUGGGGAAUAUUGGACAAUGGGGGAAACCCUGAUCCAGCAAUGCCGCGUGCGUGAAGAAGGCCUUAGGGUUGUAAAGCGCUUUCACCUGUGAUGAUGAUGACAGUAGCAGGAGAAGAAGCCCCGGUCUAACUCCGUGCCAGCA